rnacentral:rRNA from 1 species
UGAACGCUAGCGACAGGCUUAACACAUGCAAGUCGAGGGGUAACAGGGUAGCAAUACCGCUGACGACCGGCGCACGGGUGAGUAACGCGUAUGACAACCUGCCUAUAACUGGGGAAUAGCUCCCUGAAAGGGGAAUUAACACCGCAUAACACUAUUGAUUCGCAUGGAUUGGUAGUUAAAUGUAGCGAUACAGGUUAUAGAUGGGCAUGCGUGACAUUAGCUAGUUGGUGAGGUAACGGCUCACCAAGGCUACGAUGUCUAGGGGUUCUGAGAGGAAGGUCCCCCACACUGGUACUGAGACACGGACCAGACUCCUACGGGAGGCAGCAGUGAGGAAUAUUGGUCAAUGGGCGCAAGCCUGAACCAGCCAUGUCGCGUGCAGGAAGACUGCCCUAUGGGUUGUAAACUGCUUUUAUAGUAGAAGAAACACAUCUACGUGUAGAUGUCUGCCAGUAUACUAUGAAUAAGCAUCGGCUAACUCCGUG